rnacentral:rRNA from 1 species
UACGAAGGGGGCUAGCGUUGCUCGGAAUCACUGGGCGUAAAGAGCUCGUAGGCGGCUUGUUGCGUCAGCUGUGAAAACCGCAGCUCAACUGUGGGCUUGCAGCUGAUACGGGCAGGCUUGAGUUCGGUAGGGGAGACUGGAAUUCCCGGUGUAGCGGUGAAAUGCGUAGAGAUCGGGAGGAACACCCGUGGCGAAGGCGGCCAUCUGGACCAGCACUGACGCUGAGGCACGAAAAGCGUGGGGGAGCAAAACAGGG